UGCUAUGGCUCAGGUGGUAGAGCGUCGCCUUGGUAAGGCGGAGGUCACGGGUUCAAAUCCCGUUAGCA
rnacentral:tRNA from 1 species